CAAUAGCGUAUAUUAAAGUUGUUGCGGUUAAAAAGCUCGUAGUUGGAUUUCUGCUGAGGACGACCGGUCCGCCCUCUGGGUGAGUAUCUGGUUCGGCCUGGGCAUCUUCUUGGAGAGCGUAGCUGCACUUGACUGUGUGGUGCGGUAUCCAGGACUUUUACUUUGAGGAAAUUAGAGUGUUCAAAGCAGGCCUUUGCUCGAAUACAUUAGCAUGGAAUAAUAGAAUAGGACGUGUGGUUCUAUUUUGUUGGUUUCUAGGACCGCCGUAAUGAUUAAUAGGGAUAGUCGGGGGCGGUCAGUAUUCAGUCUGUCAGAGGUGAAAUUCUUGGAUUUGCUGAAGACUAACUACUGCGAAAGCAUUCGCCAAGGAUGUUUUUCAUUAAUCAGGGAACGAAAGUUAGGGGAUCGAAGAUGAUC
rnacentral:rRNA from 1 species